rnacentral:rRNA from 1 species
CAAACUGGAGAUGGCGACCGGCGCACGGGUGAGUAACACGUAUCCAACCUGCCGAUAACUCGGGGAUAGCCUUUCGAAAGAAAGAUUAAUACCCGAUGGCAUAAUAGAACCGCAUGGUUUGAUUAUUAAAGAAUUUCGGUUAUCGAUGGGGAUGCGUUCCAUUAGGCAGUUGGUGGGGUAAUGGCCCACCAAACCUUCGAUGGAUAGGGGUUCUGAGAGGAAGGUCCCCCACAUUGGAACUGAGACACGGUCCAAACUCCUACGGGAGGCAGCAUG